rnacentral:rRNA from 1 species
GACGAACGCUGGCGGCGUGCCUAAUACAUGCAAGUUGAGCGAUGAAGAUUGGUGCUUGCACCAAUUUGAAGAGCAGCGAACGGGUGAGUAACGCGUGGGGAAUCUGCCUUUGAGCGGGGGACAACAUUUGGAAACGAAUGCUAAUACCGCAUAAUAACUUUAAACAUAAGUUUUAAGUUUGAAAGAUGCAAUUGCAUCACUCAAAGAUGAUCCCGCGUUGUAUUAGCUAGUUGGUGAGGUAAAGGCUCACCAAGGCGAUGAUACAUAGCCGACCUGAGAGGGUGAUCGGCCACAUUGGGACUGAGACACGGCCCAAACUCCUACGGGAGGCAGCAGUAGGGAAUCUUCGGCAAUGGACGAAAGUCUGACCGAGCAACGCCGCGUGAGUGAAGAAGGUUUUCGGAUCGUAAAACUCUGUUGGUAGAGAAGAACGUUGGUGAGAGUGGAAAGCUCAUUAAGUGACGGUAACUACCCAGAAAGGGACGGCUAACUACGUG